rnacentral:lncRNA from 10 species
AUAUUUGUGGUGGACUCUGUGUUGCACCAUCCCCAAGCCUCCCUUCAUGAAAGAUUUGUUGCUGCAGCUGCCAGGAGCACUAUAACCUUCAGCUGUCACCCUCCUCAGGAAUGACCUCAUUCUGCCCAAGGUCAUGCCCACUCCUGGGGUACCCAUAUACAGAUUGAUUUGAGAGUAUAAAGGCCUGGCCAUCUCAGCCAAACUCAGGAUGAUUCUGAUAGGCAAUUCCAAGUCUGCCUUGGAGCUGACAAAUAUCUUAAGAUCUUUCAUGUUACUAAAAGAUGAACAGAUGGACGGGGCCAUUCACUCCUAUGUUAAAGGUCACUCUCUCUGGAAUCGUAAUACAUGAAGAUAGAAAUGAAGAAACUAGUUGUAUUGCAACAAUCAUAAUGGGACACUUAAAUUAGGGGGUGCUUUUUAAGGAAUCACCCUCUCCGUCAACCCAGAGUGAAAACACAAAACAUUAGGCUGAAGCCACCAAGCGAGAGGUCAUUCCCAGUUUUAAUCCUGCGAGUGCUAACUGGACCAUCCUUGAUGCCAACAUGCAGGCGUGACCCUCUGUCCUGGCGGCCCACUCCAGGGACCAUUCCUCUUGUCAUGUGAAGGUUUUUGAUGUGUUGCAGAAACUGCUCAGGGAAAGCUGUAGACGGCAGCUUGGAGAUUCUUUUUCUCUUCUAACAUACCUGUGAUACCCAUUUCUCUCCACCAAAUGCUUGCUCUCUUCAUCCAAACUGCUCUGCAUGUUGAUGUCAAAUAUCUGACAAAGAAAAUGAUAAGGUGUCCAGCUAGAAAGCGUGUGCUCAAUUUUGAACAGUUCACAGACUUUUAAAAUGUGUUCCUCUUUUUCUAGGCCUUACAAGAGGGAAGAUAAAGAAGUCAGACUCUCUGCUUAUUCAUCCAGUCUGGGAGUGUGUGCAGGUGGCUGUUGGAAAGUUUUCACUACAAUUUACUACAGUUUCCAGGGAGUUUCAGACCCAUGAGUGUGGGACGUGCAGUAAAUGCCAACACCAGGCAGAGAGAAGCCACAGACAGCUAAUGGCCCAUUGUCUGUGCCUGUCGCGUGGUCUCCUAGGACCAGGCCCUCUCUGGAGGGAGCCCUGGCUCUUGGCAGCAGCGCCUCAGCUGCUCCGUCAGCCACUGGCAGCCAUUCUGGGGACACAGGCACUUCUGUGUCCCUUCCCUCCUGCUAACUCUGCCACGGGCUAAGCGACCGACCCCGGAAUCAGCAGCAGCUUUCAACUUGAGUUUUUGUGAUGGAACAAUAGUUAACUAUGGCUUUCAAAGGAACUCGGAGGCAGCUCCUUUCACAGUGGGAUUUCCUUCCUUGUGGGUUUUCCCAGCUGUCUUUGUCUUGGGUCAUGUCUAACAGAUGUCGGAGGCCUUGGAGAGCCUUCCAAAAAACCAGUGACAACUAGACCUGGGGGGCCUUCCGGGAAAAGUGCCUCAAGGGCCCUUCAGGGGUCAGCUGAAGCCAUGGCAGGAAUGACAUUGGCAAAUCACAAGACACCACUCGCCUCUCCCACCUCCCUUAUGUCCUUUGCCUCCAAGGGUUGCUGUGGAAUGCUCUAGGGGAGAUUUAGGAGAUUGCUUCGAUGAUGCUCUCGGGUGGAGAUAAAAAUCAAAUUCCAGGAAUCCUUCUUUUAGAGCCCGCCUGGUAAGCUUAGAAAGAACUCCUCAAACAUGGAAAACACGAAACUGCAGACUAUUGGUGUUUUGGAAUCAAUCUGAUAAAACCUGCUAUAUCCAGAUCAGAGUCAUCCUUCAAAAGGGUUCCUGGGAGUCAGUGUACUCAUUCCAAUUAUGGUUUCACUGCCUCAUACAUAAUUGAAACUCCCCUUUUGGAAUUGUUUUCUGAAUUAGUCAAUUCAACAAUUAAUAGUGAAAAGGUUGCCAACAAACCAAAGGGCUAAUAAUAGAGAAUGAGUAAAGAAUGUCAUAUUCUAUGGUCAUUAGAAUAUUCUUUGCAAAAACUGUGGGACUAAGAUAAAACAUGAAGUUGGAAAGAAAUACAUGAGUAUACAUAAAUGCUUUCUAAUUUAGAAAAAAAUAUAAAGUAGACACAAAGAUUAGACGGGACGAAGAUACCCCCAAAGGCUAACAGUAGCUUUGGAAAGCCAGUAGAAUUAUAGGUAAUUAAUUUACUUUCUUCCAUUUUGCAGGUUUUGGUAGUGUGAUUAUUUACCCAUGUAAUGAAAAAAUGUGUAAUUUUUAAGAAGUCUUCUGAAAAUUAUUGCCUGGGAAAAAUAGGCAAUAAUUUUCUCCUUUAAUAGGUCUAGGAGAAAAUCAGUCUUAUCAAUUCAUAAUUGCAACUUACUUUGGGUGAAAAUUGCUAUUAUGGAAUUAAUUGCAUCUUCUCUGACUUUUGGCUAUUUCUAAAAGCCAGAUCUCCUUUAGAAACUGGUGAAAUUUGCCACCACUGAAUAUUUCCAUGAGGGCAUAUGCAUUUUUGCCUUUUGUUCAGGGAUAUAUUCCCAGGUCCUAGCAUGGUGCUGGACAUAUAGUUGGACUCAAUAAAUAAUUGCUGAGUGGAUGAACAGGCUGUAGAUGGUAUAAGGGGCUAGGAUGCAGAACAGAGAAUGGAGACCAUAGAGUGAAAAUGCCAGUCAGAGAAUGAAAUCCUCAGACAGGUUUAGCAGGUAACAACUGUGAUGCACACCACAGGGCUCCCCAGAUCCUCCCAGGUUCCCCCCCAACACCUGCCACUCUUCGUGGAGGACUGCCCUUGGACUCUGGGAACUUAUUUGUCUGUCAAUGAAGAGCAGGGAGUACUAAGGGAUUCUUUCCUCCAGGUAGCCCCACACUCCUGAGAUACCCUGUGGGAUUAGGGUGAAGCUGCCCCUCCUGGGACUUUGCCUAAAAUCACACCUUUCCUUGUCUCAGAGUCUGCCUUUGAGAAACAUGACCCAAGACAACAAUACUGUUAUUAUUUAUUUAUUUAUUUAUUUUUGUGAUGGAGUUUCACUCUUGUCGCCCAGGCUGGAGUGCAAUGGCAUGAUCUCGGCUCACUGCAACCUCCGCCUCCCAGGUUCAAGUGAUUCUUUUGCCUCAGCCUCCCGAGUAGCUGGAAUUAUAGGUGCCCGCCUCCAUGCCUGGUUAAUUUCUGUAUUUUUAGUAGAGACGGGGUUUCCCCAUGUUGGCCAGGCUGGUCUCAAACUCCUGACCUCAAGUGAUCCACCCACCUUGGCUUCCCAAAGUGUUGGGAUUACAGGCGUGAGCCACCAUGCCCAGCCGACAAUAAUACUUUUAGCAACAGGAAGGCAUAGCAUUUAUGGUCUGUGUUCUGUGCAUCAGGCACAGUUGUGAUGCGUUAGUGAAUUAUUUCGGGGGGUGCUCUCAAGGACCCAUGGAAGAGGGGCCAUUAUUAUCCCCAUUUGCACUUGAGGAAAUGGAGGCACAAAGCUUCUAAAUAACUGGGCUUUAUACAUUUAAAUACUAGUCCCACCUUGCAUGGGACAUUUCUGCUCAUCUUCCAUUGUGAUGGAAAAUUUUAUGUGUCAGCUUGGCC